AGAGUUUGAUCCUGGCUCAGGAUGAACGCUAGCGGCAGGCCUAAUACAUGCAAGUCGAACGAGUCGCAAGACUAGUGGCGCACGGGUGCGUAACACGUAGGUAACCUACCUUUUACUGGGGGGAUAACGAUGGGAAACCAUCGCUAAUACCGCAUGAGACAGCAGAGGGGCAUCCCUUAGUUGUUAAAGAUUCAUUGGUAAAAGAUGGGCCUGCGGCUGAUUAGCUAGUUGGCGGUGUAACAGACCACCAAGGCAAUGAUCAGUAGGGGUUCUGAGAGGAAGAUCCCCCACACUGGCACUGAGAUACGGGCCAGACUCCUACGGGAGGCAGCAGUAGGGAAUAUUGGGCAAUGGAGGCAACUCUGACCCAGCCAUGCCGCGUGCAGGGAGAAGGCGCUCAGCGUUGUAAACUGCUUUUGCCCGGGAGGAAUGCCUAGUACGUGUACUAGAGUCGACGGUACCGGGUGAAUAAGCACCGGCCAACUCCGUGCCAGCAGCCGCGGUAAUACGGAGGGUGCAAGCGUUGUCCGGAUUUAUUGGGUUUAAAGGGUGCGUAGGUGGCUUUUUAAGUCCGGGGUGAAAGGCGAUGGCUCAACCAUCAGCAGUGCCCUGGAUACUGGGAGGCUCGAGUAAGUUUGAGGCCGGUGGAACGGGUGGUGUAGCGGUGAAAUGCAUAGAUACCAUCCAGAACACCAAUUGCGGAGGCAGCCGGCUAAGACUUUACUGACACUGAGGCACGAAAGCGUGGGGAGCAAACAGGAUUAGAUACCCUAGUAGUCC
rnacentral:rRNA from 1 species